rnacentral:rRNA from 1 species
GUGCCAGCAGCCGCGGUAACACCGGCAGCCCAAGUGGUAGCCACGAUUAUUGGGUCUAAAGCGUCCGGUAGCCGGGCCAGGUAAGUUCUUUGGGAAAUUUAACCGCUCAACGGUUAAGCUUUCAGGGAAUACUGCUUGGCUUGGGACCGGGAGAGGUCAGAGGUACUUCAAGGGUAGGGGUGAAAUCCGUUAAUCCUUGAGGGACCACCAGUAGCGAAGGCGUCUGACCAGACCGGGUCCGACGGUGAGGGACGAGGGCUAGGGUCGCGAACCGGAUUAGAUACCCGGGUAGUCCUAGCUGUAAACGAUGCGGGCCAGGUGUUGGCAUUACUGCGAGUGAUGUCAGUGCCGAAGGGAAGCCGUUAAGCCCGCCAUCUGGGGAGUACGGUCGCAAGGCUGAAACUCAAAUGAAUUGACGG